rnacentral:rRNA from 1 species
UACGUAGGGUGCAAGCGUUGUCCGGAUUUAUUGGGCGUAAAGAGCUCGUAGGCGGUUUGUCGCGUCGGAUGUGAAAACCCAGGGCUCAACCCUGGGCCUGCAUUCGAUAUGGGCAGACUGGAGGUAUGCAGGGGAGAACGGAAUUCCUGGUGUAGCGGUGAAAUGCGCAGAUAUCAGGAGGAACACCGGUGGCGAAGGCGGUUCUCUGGGCAUGUCCUGACGCUGAGGAGCGAAAGUGUGGGGAGCGAACAGG